rnacentral:misc_RNA from 1 species
AACGCACAUUGCGCCCCUUGGUAUUCCAUGGGGCAUGCCUGUUCGAGCGUCAUUUGUACCCUCAAGCUCUGCUUGGUGUUGGGUGUUUGUCCACUCCCUGGUGUUUGGACUCGCCUUAAAGCAAUUGGCAGCCAGUGUUUUGGUAUUGAAGCGCAGCACAUUUUGCGAUUCUAGCCUGAAAUACUAGCGUCCAGUAAGUCAUUUUUCACUUUUGACCUCGGAUCAGGUAGGGAUACCCGCUGAACUUAA